UAAAAUAACUUUGCUACCCUGAACAAGCCCGAUCCUGUCUGAUCUCGGAAACUAAGCAGGGUCGGGCCUGGUUAGUGCUUGGAUGGGAGACCACCUAGGAAGACCAGGUGCUGUAGGCA
rnacentral:rRNA from 1 species